rnacentral:rRNA from 1 species
UAAUACCGGAUAAGCCUUUGGGUAAAAGAUUUAUUGCCCCAAGAGGAGCUCGCGUCUGAUUAUCUAUUUGGUGAGGUAAGAGCUCACCAAGGCAGCGAUCACUAGCUGGUCUGAGAGGACGAUCACCCACACUGGGACUGAGACACGGCCCAGACUCCUACAGGAGGCAGAAGUGGGGAAUUUUCCGCAAUGGGCGAAAGCCUGAAGGAGCAAGCACCGCGUGAGGGAGGAAGGCUCUUGGGUUGUAAACCUCUUUUCUCAGGGAAGAAGCUCUGACGGUACCUGAGGAAUCAGCCUCGGCUAACUCCGUGCCAGCAGCCGCGGUAAUACGGAGGAGGCAAGCGUUAUCCGGAAUUAUUGGGCGUAAAGCGUCCGCAGGUGGCGAUUCAAGUCUGCUGUCAAAGCACGGGGCUUAACUCCGUCAAGGCAGUGGAAACUGAAUAGCUAGAGUGCCGUAGGGGUAGAGGGAAUUCCCGGUGUAGCUGCGAAAUGCGUAGAGAUCGGGAAGAACAUCGGUGGCGACAGCGCUCUACUGGACGGCAACUGACACUCAGGGACGAAAGCUAGGGGAGCGAAUGGGAUUAGAUACCCCAGUAGUCCUAGCUGUAAACGAUGGAUACUAGGUGUAGCUUGUAUCGACCCGAGCUGUGCCGAAGCUAACGCAUUAAGUAUUCCGCCUGGGGAGUACGCACUCAAGUGUGAAACUCAAAGGAAUUGACGGGGGCCCGCACAAGCGGUGGAGUAUGUGUUUUUAUUUGAUUCAACGCGAAGAUCCUUACCAGGGCUUUACAUGUCCGGAAUCCCGGUGAAAACUGGGUGUUCCUUCGGGAGCCGGAACACAGGUGGUGCAUGGCUGUCGUCAGCUCUUGUCGUGAGAUGUUGGGUUUAGUCCCGCAACGAGCGCAACCCUCGUCUUUAGUUGCCAGCAUUAAUUUGGGCACUAUAUAGAAACUGCCGGUGACAAACCGGUGGAAGGUGGGGAUGACGUCAAGUCAGCAUUCCCCUUACUCUUUGGGGGACACACGUCCUUCAAUGGUGGGGACAGAGGGCAGCGAACCUGCGAAGGCAAGCUA